GUACUCGCUGGGUAGCACAUAUACUAAAAUUGGAACCAGAGAAGAUUAGCACAGUCCCUGUGCAAGAAUGACAUGCAAAUUUGUGAAGCAUUCCGUAUUUAA
rnacentral:snRNA from 1 species